rnacentral:rRNA from 1 species
UGGUGGAGUGAUUUGUCUGGUUAAUUCCGUUAACGAACGAGACCUUGACCUGCUAAAUAGUUUUACCAACCCUCUGGGUUGGCGUUUAACUUCUUAGAGGGACUAUCGGUGUGUAGCCGAUGGAAGUUCGAGGCAAUAACA